ACUUUUUGAAAAGUCUUGCAGUGGCCUGUGUACCUGUGAAGGGCUCAGAAAAGUCCUGACAUUCUAGUGGAGACAUCCAUCAAGAUGGGGUGGUUCUUCUAGUCCAGAAUUGAUGCACAGGGUCAGGGUAGCCACCUUGUAUGAUGGGUAUUUAGGAGACUGUAAUGGAAGCCUUAACAUACCCACCUCUGGAAAAAAGGCCUCAUAGCAUUGGCCU
rnacentral:lncRNA from 1 species